rnacentral:rRNA from 1 species
UACGAGGGGGGCAAGCGUUGUUCGGAAUUACUGGGCGUAAAGCGUGCGUAGACGGUAGCGUAAGUCAGAUGUGAAAGCCCCGGGCUCAACCUGGGAACUGCAUUUGAGACUGCUCUGCUCGGGUGCGGAAGAGGGAAGCGGAAUUUCCGGUGUAGCGGUGAAAUGCGUAGAUAUCGGAAGGAACACCAGUGGCGAAAGCGGCUUCCUGGUCCGACACCGACGUUCAGGCACGAAAGCGUGGGGAGCAAACAGG